GACCUCAAAUCAGGUAGGGUGA
rnacentral:rRNA from 1 species